AUAUCGUAAGGCGUAGCGAAUGCGAUGAAUCCGCUACCCGGAAAGUCUCGAAUUCGUGAGUCGGAUGGAUCGGAAUAGGGUACGUAUCGUGAAUCUAGAACCCGAGGCAGGCGGAUCGGACCAUGACGUAGGCGGAAGUCGGGACAACAGAAUAAGAAUACUGUGAGUCCGACCUAACGGUGCACGCUAAGGGUGGGGGAUUCCACCCCUCCCGCGCCCCCAAGCUACGCGUAGCGUGCGCUGGGAGUACGCGCAAGCUAAAACUCAAAGAAAUUGACGGGGGCCCGCACAAGCAGAGGAGCAUGUGCUAAUUCGAUGCAACGCGGAAAAACUUACUGGGUUUGACAUGCAGCUGCACGAACCGUGAAAGCGGUCUCCUUCGAGGGGUGCUGCACAGGUGCUGCAUGGCUGUCGUCAGUUCGUGCCGUGAGGGUGUUUGGUUAAGUCCACCAACGAACGCAACCCCUGUGGACAGUUGCCAGCGGGUAACGCCGGGAACUCUGUCCAUACUGCCCGUUUACGCGGGAGGAAGGUGGGGAUGACGUCAAGUCAGUAUGGCCCUUACAUCCAGGGCUGCACACGUGCUACAAUGGCCGGUACAGAGGGAUGCCAAACCGCGAGGUGGAGCAAAACUCACAAAGCCGGUCUCAGUUCAGAUUGGAGUCUGCAACUCGACUCCAUGAAGUCGGAAUUGCUAGUAAUUGCAGAUCAGCCAUGCUGCGGGGAAGACGAUACCGGGUCUUGUACACACCGCCCGUCAAACCAUGAGAGCUGGUAAUACUCGAAGUCGUUAUCUCUAACCGCAAGGAGGAGGCGCCUAAGGUAGGACUGGUGAUGGGGUAAGUCGUACUAGAGUAACCUA
rnacentral:rRNA from 1 species